UAGCAUUGCAUGUAAAUGAAUCUUAAUAGUAUAUAUUUCAAUUGCAGUUUUUUCCCAUCUUUUCAGUUUGUUAAAUAUUUAAGUUCUAUUUUGACAAAUUUUGUACUAAAGUGGCACAUACUUUCAGUUAUUGCAGAGCAGUCGAACGAGUACCUCAAACUGAUACACACUACUUAUGGUGGUCUUCUAAUUGAACGGGACAUUUACAGAAAUUUAAUUUGACCGGAGAAGCUCUCGGGACACUCGGCACCAAAGAGAUUCCUGGUUCUAUCAUCUAUUGCUACUCUCUGUUCUUCUUUUAUCGUCUUCAGGUUCAGAAAAGAAAGGGUAUUCAAACUAUUCUCAUUUCUCUAUUAAAUCAAAGAUGAUAAUGACAUCGACAAAGUGUUCCAGGCUUGAAAAUGAUAAAACAUUGUGGGUGGCUGCAACUGACCGACUCGAGCUCGCUUCAGCCUCCUCCGAUCCUGCAGCUACUGUCUCCCCAAGCAAAGUCAACCUACAACAACAAGGUGAACCUCCUACCCUGCAGUUUAGGGAACAAGAACUAUCUCAGAUAAUAGGACAUGGU